rnacentral:rRNA from 1 species
GGUGGAUGCCCUGGCAGUCAGAGGCGAUGAAGGGCGUGCUAAUCUGCGAUAAGCGCCGGUAAGGUGAUAUGAACCGUUAUAACCGGCGAUACCCGAAUGGGGAAACCCAGUGUGACUCGUCACACUAUCAUUAACUGAAUCCAUAGGUUAAUGAGGCGAACCGGGGGAACUGAAACAUCUAAGUACCCCGAGGAAAAGAAAUCAACCGAGAUUCCCCCAGUAGCGGCGAGCGAACGGGGAGGAGCCCAGAGCCUGAAUCAGCAUGUGUGUUAGUGGAAGCGUCUGGAAAGGCGCGCGAUACAGGGUGACAGCCCCGUACACAAAAGCGCAUGUGCUGUGAGCUCGAUGAGUAGGGCGGGACACGUGGUAUCCUGUCUGAAUAUGGGGGGACCAUCCUCCAAGGCUAAAUACUCCUGACUGACCGAUAGUGAACCAGUACCGUGAGGGAAAGGCGAAAAGAACCCCGGCGAGGGGAGUGAAAAAGAACCUGAAACCGUGUACGUACAAGCAGUGGGAGCACCCUUUGGGUGUGACUGCGUACCUUUUGUAUAAUGGGUCAGCGACUUAUAUUCUGUAGCAAGGUUAACCGAAUAGGGGAGCCGGAGGGAAACCGAGUCUUAAUUGGGCGUUAAGUUGCAGGGUAUAGACCCGAAACCCGGUGAUCUAGCCAUGGGCAGGUUGAAGGUUGGGUAACACUAACUGGAGGACCGAACCGACUAAUGUUGAAAAAUUAGCGGAUGACCUGUGGCUGGGGGUGAAAGGCCAAUCAAACCGGGAGAUAGCUGGUUCUCCCCGAAAGCUAUUUAGGUAGCGCCUCGUGAAUUCAUCUCCGGGGGUAGAGCACUGUUUCGGCUAGGGGGCCAUCCCGGCUUACCAACCCGAUGCAAACUGCGAAUACCGGAGAAUGUUAUCACGGGAGACACACGGCGGGUGCUAACGUCCGUCGUGAAGAGGGAAACAACCCAGACCGCCAGCUAAGGUCCCAAAGUCAUGGUUAAGUGGGAAACGAUGUGGGAAGGCCCAGACAGCCAGGAUGUUGGCUUAGAAGCAGCCAUCAUUUAAAGAAAGCGUAAUAGCUCACUGGUCGAGUCGGCCUGCGCGGAAGAUGUAACGGGGCUAAACCAUGCACCGAAGCUGCGGCAGCGAACGUAUCACUUAAAGCGAUUCAGCGGGUUACGAUUGACGGAGCGAAGCGACGUCAAAGCGUAUACAAAGUCGAGUCGGUUUAAGGAUACGUUCGUUGGGUAGGGGAGCGUUCUGUAAGCCUGUGAAGGUGGCCUGUGAGGGUUGCUGGAGGUAUCAGAAGUGCGAAUGCUGACAUAAGUAACGAUAAAGCGGGUGAAAAGCCCGCUCGCCGGAAGACCAAGGGUUCCUGUCCAACGUUAAUCGGGGCAGGGUGAGUCGACCCCUAAGGCGAGGCCGAAAGGCGUAGUCGAUGGGAAACGGGUUAAUAUUCCCGUACUUGGUGUUACUGCGAAGGGGGGACGGAGAAGGCUAUGUUGGCCGGGCGACGGUUGUCCCGGUUUAAGCGUGUAGGCUGGUUUUCCAGGCAAAUCCGGAAAAUCAAGGCUGAGGCGUGAUGACGAGGCACUACGGUGCUGAAGCAACAAAUGCCCUGCUUCCAGGAAAAGCCUCUAAGCAUCAGGUAACAUCAAAUCGUACCCCAAACCGACACAGGUGGUCAGGUAGAGAAUACCAAGGCGCUUGAGAGAACUCGGGUGAAGGAACUAGGCAAAAUGGUGCCGUAACUUCGGGAGAAGGCACGCUGACACGUAGGUGAAGUGAUUUACUCACGGAGCUGAAGUCAGUCGAAGAUACCAGCUGGCUGCAACUGUUUAUUAAAAACACAGCACUGUGCAAACACGAAAGUGGACGUAUACGGUGUGACGCCUGCCCGGUGCCGGAAGGUUAAUUGAUGGGGUCAGCGCAAGCGAAGCUCCUGAUCGAAGCCCCGGUAAACGGCGGCCGUAACUAUAACGGUCCUAAGGUAGCGAAAUUCCUUGUCGGGUAAGUUCCGACCUGCACGAAUGGCGUAAUGAUGGCCAGGCUGUCUCCACCCGAGACUCAGUGAAAUUGAACUCGCUGUGAAGAUGCAGUGUACCCGCGGCAAGACGGAAAGACCCCGUGAACCUUUACUAUAGCUUGACACUGAACAUUGAGCCUUGAUGUGUAG